CCAAACCAAAGCAAAGAAAGAUUCCGAGUAGAGGCCUAGAGAGUACUGCUAUGAAGAGACUGGAGUCUCCUCCAUCUCUUAUAGGAUCUCACAAAUGGUACUUUCCUUAUUUGGGCUUUCUAUCUGGUGUUCUGGCCUCGCCAUUGAAGAUUUAUUCAUCGAUCAAAAGCUUUUCUUCUUUCUUUGGCUACGUGUCGCCGACACCACACCUGUACGUCUCUCCUUCGGCAUUUGUAUCUGCCUCUGCAUCUGCAUGACUGACACACAUACAUGAGAGAGAGAGAGAGAGAGAGAGAGAGAGAGAGAGAGAGAGUUGUAACCACACAGGAGAUAAGAUCAGUAGUCAUGAGAGGGAAUGAAGAGAGAGAAAGAGAAAGGUUUUCUCCUUCUGUUUUUGGCAUUGAGGUCUGUGGAGGGUGUUGGCCUGAACAAACCCUAAAUCGACUAAUCGAGGUCGACGUCGUUCAUUUUUACAACAAAAGAAGCACGGAUCUUAGGUUUUUCUGACUUUUUGUACCUUUCCAAAAAUGGGUUUUCCCUCUACUGUUCUCAGAUCUGACUCCUCCUCCUCCUCCUCCUCCUCCGUCACUAGUUAUCUUCUUCGAGUGUUUAAUUGCUCCCUUCCCCUUUCGCGCUCUCUCUCUCUCUCUCUCUUUCCUUUUCUUUUUUCUUUCCAAAAUUGGGCUGUGUACCUUUCUCCUUUUCUGUCCCUCUGUAGACCGCUGUCAUCAUUCAUUGUUCCUUCACCAGAAGAUUAUGAAAGCCGAGUUGUUGUUAGAUUUAUCUAAAAAUGUAAAAAAAAAUAUAACAAAAAUGGUUGGGUUGGGUUGGUGAAGAUAGAAAUUGACAGAAGAGAGUGAGCACACAGAGGCAGAUGGCAUAAAGUGUAUGUUAUUGCUUUUGCGUGCUCAUUUCUCUUUCUGUCACCUGCUCACUCUCCCUGCCCUGCCGAAGUUCAAUUCAAUUCACCCUUAUCCAUCUACCAAUAGAUCCAUAUCUGAUUCUGACCUGGACUGUGUAUGCUCGCUGCUACUCUUCUCUCUCUCUCUCUCUCUCUCUCUCUCAAAAUGGACAUUGCAUACGCCUUGGAAAUCGGUAAGUGAUUUUUUUAUUUAUUUUGCUGCAUCGCAUAGACUAUCAUAUCGAUCUGAGCUUGCAGAAACUGAUUAGCUUGGAAGCGUGAUUUUUGAUGGUCUUUUAGUUCUACCAAGCGCCAACGUACAUACGAGAGACUAGAGUGAUUACUGUGCCAAACUAGCUGGUAAUCAACCUUCUGAUUAAUAUUAUAUAGCAUAUUAGCAUGGGACCAUUCCCCAUUCCCUUCACUCACGUAGCAACUACCUAGCUAGUAUGGUCCUGAUCACCUUAUUUCUCUUUGUUGUUUGUCUUCUCCAUCUUCCUUAAUUAACUGUGCAGCGUCUUGCUAUCAUCGCCAUGGCUGUCUCUUUUCUUUGUUAUUCUAUUAUCUCUUCCCUUUUUUCAAGUCCUCAUGUGCAUGUGAUGUUCACUCGAUAAUGGGUUCUGCGGCUUCUUCCUAUUGUGUUUUCUUUUCACCUGAAUCUAGCCGCAAUCCACGGAUUGUACACCUACCCAGUUCGUUCCUGUAGACAUAUUCUUCUUCUUCUUCUUUGUCUGGGGGUUUUCUGAACGACGAUAUGUUAUUUUGCCCAUAAUUGGGUUGCUUGUAGUACUCAUCAGUACAAGGCUUUUUCCAUUCUAAUGAUUAAUAGUUGUUCUAUGUGGUUUUUAACUUUUUAUCUUGCAAAUAUCUGGUUUAUCGUACACAUUACUGUAGAUUCCAGUUUGUGAAACAGAAAAAUUUAGUUGUUGUACUCUUUCUCUAAAAAAUUUCAUACAUAAUUAUAUACACAUAUAUCUAUCAGUUGUUAUAGCUAGUGUAUAUGUGAUGAUUUUACAGAUAUAAUUAUCUGGUAAUUUGGUUAUUCAACUCUUGUUAAUUGUUUAGUGCCUAGUUUGCAGGUAUUAGGCAUAUUGAUCCUUUACCAGUAUCAUGUCACAUUAUUUUUUGGGUUCGAUCAGUUGUGUUUUCAUUUCAUAUAAGUAGUUCUAUCAGUACUAAUUCCAUUUGUAUCACUAUUUUAUAUGUUGCACUGCUCUUGCUUUCUGGAUUUUAUUAAGGUUAAAAAUGCAUCUCUUAGGCAGUGAUUAUUAUCUUUGAACCAAAUAUUUUUGGAUGGCUCAAAGUAACCAAGAGCACAAUUUGCUUCUUGUGUUGAUGGUUUCAAAAUGAAGAGAUGUGUCUAGCAAAACCAAUAAUGAUUGGGUAAAUAUAUAAGACUGGUGAGUUGUCUUGGCCACCUGCAUCUCUUAUGCAAUAACAAUUUAUUAUUAUUCUUAUUUCCUUUUUACAUCACUUUGAUCACUAUUUAGGAUUCAAAGGUGCAAAGUAGAAACUAUCAUGAUAUCUAUAUAUAAAUCAUGCUAUUUCUUAUACUCGAUGAUUUUUUUCCAAGAAGAUUUUUAGGUCUCUUCUCAUGAUGUAUUACUCUUAGAAGAUUGCUAAUGAAGAGUCCAAUAAUUUGAAAUUUUAGUGUAGUGGUAGGAUUUUAAAGUAAUCAUCUUAGAUGUACUACAUUUUGUUCACCAAAUUUCUCCCCUAUUACUUUUUGUAGGUCAUUGUUUUCACUUUUUCUUAAUGUUUCUUGCUGAUUGACUCAUAUAUGCCACCAUAAGUGCUUAACAACAAAAGGUUCAUGGGGGCAUGUGUGAGUAACAGAUCAAAUGGAUGUGGCUGGUGUGGUAUAUAGCAUGUGUAGCCAACUAUACUACUGAAAUAUAUAUUUGCUGUUAAAGCCAAAACUCAAUCUGUUUCUGUAAAUAUAAGCAAGAUCCAAGUAUAAAGCAGAUGCAAUGCAUCAGUAUGAUCAUAUGCACAUGAAAGUCAAAUUUGGUCUUCCUUUCAGUUAUGUUCAUGCAUAUUUACUACAAUUAAUUAAUUCAUCGACUCAUAUAUGCCAUCAUAAGUUCUUAACAACAAAAGGUUUGUGCGGGCAUGUGUGAGUAACAGAUCAAAUGGAUGUGGCUGGUGUGGUAUAUAGCAUGUGUAGCCAACUACUACUGAAAUAUAUAUUUGCUGUUAAAACCAAAACUCAAUCUGUUUGUCUGUAAAUAUAAGCAAGGUCUAAGCAAAAAGCAGAUGCAAUGCAUCAGUAUGAUCACACGCACGUGAAAGUCAAAUUUGGUCUUCCUCUGAGUUAAAUUCAUGCAUAUUUACUACAAUUAAUUAAUUUGUUAAAAACCAAAUAAAUUUGACUUUCAUGUGCAUAUGAUCAUACUGUUUCCUAGCUAGGGAUUUGCUGGAUGAAUUAGAGAGGGUUUCUAUUCGUUCUUAGCAUUUAAUUUUCUUAAUUUAUUGAAACAAGCUAUUAAGUGCAUAUUUUCUUUUUUAUUUUGUUAUCUUCUUUGGAAAAUAGAUUUUAUUUCACUUGAGGAACUAGUAAAAAACUAAAUCAAACUUUUUUUUUCUGAAGGGAACUAAAUCAAACUUUUACAAGAACUAAUUGCGAUUCAAAACAUGUUUUGUUAGAAGACAUCAACGUUAGCUGUUAGGGAAAAUUGUUGUUAUUAGAAAGGCAGAUGGAGAAGUGAGGUCAACGAUCGAGGUAUAUCAAGCUCUUGUCAGCUUAGUAGAUUACAAUCUUACAGAUUACAAGCUCCCAGUCACCGUUGUUUGUGCCGUCAAUUCAUUCUCUUUAAGGAAUUCUUUAUGACAAUUCUUGAGAUAACAAUUUGCAUAUUUAAAGCAUCUAUGUUUGGAUUUUCAUGUCAGUUAUUGAUAAUAAGUUUAACUGUUUAACAAUAAAUCACAUGAUUUUCAUAGGAUGUAGAUGUCAUAAGCCAUUGUAAGAACACAUUUUUAUAAGAUAUAAUGUAUUGACUGAUCUUUAGAAUAAUUUUACAUCAUUUUGUUUUUUUGGUAGUAAGUGCAUUUUGAAUGAGUAACUGAAAUUUUGAGGGUACUGUUUGCAUUCUAGCUAGAUGAUAACCUGAAGAAUUAAUCAGAUUUGGUUGAUUUGGCAUCUAGCUAAGUCAGUUCAAUGAUGUACGUCAUGUUCUGAAUUAGACUUGGAAAAUAAAUGGGAGAAAUUGUGUAUUUACAGUCUGAUACUCUAAUCAUUGGGAGAUGUAGGUCAGAUUUGGUUGAUUUGGCACACUUUAAUGAUCUAGGUCAUGUUCUGAUUUAGACUUGGAAGAGAAAUUGGAGAAACUGUGUACGUACGUACAGUCUAAUACUACAAUCUAAUUAAUUUGGUCCUUUUUGAAAUAGUUAUUACAGGGUGAAUUCUUUUGGGGGUUCAAUUGUCCAUGGGGAGUUGACUAAAGAAGCAAUAAACUUGGGUAGAUUUGAAUAACCGCACAGCAGUUGUAGCUGAGCCGUUCUUUUUUAUGAUAAUGUUUGGAUCUUUAUAUAUUAUUUAUUUGCCAUUUUCAGUGACUAAAGGUAGACUAUCAUUUGGAUGGUGGAUGCUGUGUGCACGCUCAAAUAUACAUAUCACUUGCAGACUAGCUAUGAACAUCAAUUCAUUUGUAGGUGUCUGCUUUAUAAUCAUAGAAACUGAGGACCUUGCUUUAUUCUUUCUUCACUUUGCCCAUGACCAGCUGGAUGGAUUUGAUUAUCGUAAGAACUGAUCAGUGUGGAUUAGUCUAUCAGUUCAUGUAUAUUUGUUUAGUUGUGAUCAAGUCUUAAUUUGGCACUGGGAUUUAUGGAUACGUUAUGAAAUUCUUGUGAAAUGGAAUGGAUUUUUUUGAUUA